rnacentral:rRNA from 1 species
GAUGAACGCUGGCGGCGUGCCUAAUACAUGCAAGUCGAGCGAACAGACGAGGAGCUUGCUCCUCUGACGUUAGCGGCGGACGGGUGAGUAACACGUGGAUAACCUACCUAUAAGACGGGGAUAACUUCGGGAAACCGGAGCUAAUACCGGAUAAUAUAUUGAACCGCAUGGUUCAAUAGUGAAAGACGGUUUUGCUGUCACUUAUAGAUGGAUCCGCGCCGCAUUAGCUAGUUGGUAAGGUAACGGCUUACCAAGGCAACGAUGCGUAGCCGACCUGAGAGGGUGAUCAGCCACACUGGAACUGAGACACGGUCCAGACUCCUACGGGAGGCAGCAGUAGGGAAUCUUCCGCAAUGGGCGAAAGCCUGACGGAGCAACGCCGCGUGAGUGAUGAAGGUCUUCGGAUCGUAAAACUCUGUUAUUAGGGAAGAACAAAUGUGUAAGUAACUAUGCACGUCUUGACGGUACCUAAUCAGAAAGCCACGGCUAACUACGUG